rnacentral:rRNA from 1 species
AGCGAACGCUGGCGGAAUGCUUAACACAUUCAAGUCGCACGGGGGCUCCGGCUCGAGUGGCGGACGGGUGAGUAACGCGUAGGACCGUGUCUUGGGGUGGGGGAUAACGAUGGGAAACUGGCGCUCAUCCCGCAUAUGGGCUGAGGCCCUAAGCCUUCGGGUGCCGUGAGAGCGGCCUGCGUCCGAUUAGCUAGUUGGUGGGGUAACUGCUUACCAAGGCGACGAUCGGUAGCUGGUCUGAGAGGACGCUCAGCCACACUGGGACUGAGACACGGCACAGACUCCUACGGGAGGCAGCAGUGGGGAAUAUUGGACAAUGGGCGGAAGCCUGAUCCAGCAAUUCCGCGUGGGUGAAGAAGGUCUUCGGAUUGUAAAGCCCUUUCGACAGGGACGAUGAUGACGGUACCUGUAGAAGAAGCCCCGGCUAACUUCGUGCCAGCCGCCGCAGUAA